GACAGAGGUCCCGAGCGUUAGGCGGAAUCACUGGGCUUAAAGCGUGUGUAGGCGGCGGCCUAAGUACCUUGUGAAAUCCCACGGCUCACCCGUGGAACUGCUCGGUAUACUGGGUCGCUUGAGCCACUUAGGGGCUACCGGAACAAAUGGUGGAGCGGUGAAAUGCGUAGAUAUCAUUUGGAACGCCAAUGGUGAAAACAGGUAGCUGGGAGUGUGCUGACGCUGAGACACGAAAGCCAGGGAGCAAACGGG
rnacentral:rRNA from 1 species